rnacentral:rRNA from 1 species
UACGUAGGGGACAAGCGUUGUCCGGAUUUAUUGGGCGUAAAGAGCGUGUAGGCGGCCAAACAGGUCAGCUGUGAAAACUCGAGGCUCAACCUCGAGACGUCGGUUGAAACCGUUUGGCUAGAGUCCGGAAGAGGAGAGUGGAAUUCCCGGUGUAGCGGUGAAAUGCGCAGAUAUCGGGAAGAACACCCGUGGCGAAGGCGGCUCUCUGGGACGGUACUGACGCUGAGACGCGAAAGCGUGGGGAGCGAACAGG